GGGGCUGAUUCUGGAUUCGACGGGAUUUGCGAAACCCAAGGUGCAUGCCGAGGGGCGGUUGGCCUCGUAAAAAGCCGCAAAAAAAUAGUCGCAAACGACGAAACCUACGCUUUAGCAGCUUAAUAACCUGCUUAGAGCCCUCUCUCCCUAGCCUCCGCUCUUAGGACGGGGAUCAAGAGAGGUCAAACCCAAAAGAGAUCGCGCGGAUGCCCUGCCUGGGGUUGAAGCGUUAAAACGAAUCAGGCUAGUCUGGUAGUGGCGUGUCCGUCCGCAGGUGCCAGGCGAAUGUAAAGACUGACUAAGCAUGUAGUACCGAGGAUGUAGGAAUUUCGGACGCGGGUUCAACUCCCGCCAGCCCCACCA
rnacentral:tmRNA from 1 species